rnacentral:rRNA from 1 species
CUGCGAGAAGUCCAUUGAACCUUAUUAUUUAGAGGAAGGAGAAGUCGUAACAAGGUUUCCGUAGGUGAACCUGCGGAAGGAUCAUUGUCGAGACCCAAAUUAUAUCGAGCGAUUCGGAGAACCCGUGAUUGAAAUAUGCGGCGGCGGACGUCGCCGCGGAGCGGCCGUCCNNNNNNNNNNNNNNNNCCCCCCCCCCCCAAACCACCCAGUCUGGAGGGGGUGGCCGCGACGGGGGUGGAGGCUGUUACCCCGAUCCGGCGCAGACUGGCGCCAAGGGAGCUAUCGAAGAACACGGGCCCGGCAUCGGGUCAUCGUGGGGUGGAGCGGUGCAGCGCACCGCACGUACUGACACGACUCUCGACAAUGGAUAUCUCGGCUCUCGCAUCGAUGAAGAGCGCAGCGAAAUGCGAUACGUGGUCGAAUUGCAGAAUCCCCCGACCAUCGAGUCUUUGAACGCAAGUUGCGCCCAGGCCAAUCGGUCGAGGGCACGUCCGCCUGGGCGUCAAACGGUGGGCCGCUCCGUGCCGAGUCCCCACCAACCCGCCGCGGUGGGGGGGGUCCGGGCGAGGCUCGGACGUGCAGAGUGGCUCGUCGUGCCCGUCGGUGCGGCGGGCUGAAGAUCGGGUUAUCGUCUCAUUGGCCACGAACAACGAGGGGUGGAUGAAAGCUGCCGCGGGCGAGGCCCGCGUUGUCUCGUGCCGGCCCGAGAGAAGAUCACACCCUUCGUGCGAUCCCAUCCCACGCGCCGCCACCCGUGCGCGGCUUGGAAUGCGA